rnacentral:misc_RNA from 1 species
UUCUAAUAGAUAAGUUCGUUAUUGUGGGUAUAGUUCAUUAUCUUGUCCGAGUUCUAAUAUUUCAAAAAUGGACAUGCAGGAAGUUAGACAUCCUAAUCCGAGGAAUCAAAGAAAUAAUAGAGAAGUUUGUCCACAUUUUCCUAAAAUAGUAGGAUAUAUGAGUGUUGACAAAGAACGAGAGUCUCAUUCAGACUUAUCACAAUUAAAAUUUGUAACAACGAUCCCUCAAGGAAGAGCGCAUAUGGAUCUUAACUACAACUUAGAUAAUUCUGUGAAAUGCCCUAUUGACAAUAAUGAGAAGAAAAUUGAUCUCGUAUUAAAAUAUCUGAUAGAGCACAAGGAUCAAUAUGAUGAAUUACAAAAAACUGAAUUAACAAUUAUAACACACAGACAUACGCUGAUUAAUAUUAUGUGCACUGCGUUUAAAUUUUCUCAUCCGAUACGAGUAAUGGCAUGUUUUUACAAAAAAUGUAUUUAUAUUUGGUCUAUGGAUACCUCACAAGACUUUGAUCACAGAAUAUUUAGGAGCGAUCAAACGGAGAAAUCUCGGGAUUGGGACUACAAAUUUAAACAGUACAUGUCGUCAGACUUGCCAAACACAUUUCCUGACUUACACAAGCCCGUUAUUGAAAAUGAGGAGUUUUCAUUAUAUAUCAAAUCACAAGUAGCAGACCACAAUCUAUUUUACCGUGCACAAAUAGAUGGAAUGCUCGCAACAAACAAGAAAAUUCCUGAACCUCCGAAUACAAAUGAUUUUGAAACAAACAUGAAAUAUAUAAGCGAUAACAAUAAUUUUGUAGACCUAAAAUCCACUAAACAGGUGACCAGUAGAAGAAUUGAAGAGGAUUUCAGGAAUUUAAAAUUGCUAAAAUGCUGGUGCCGAUGCUAUUUAACUAAUCUAAGUGUAGUCAUUGGAUUUAGAGAUGAUGCAGGUACAGUAGUUUCACUCAAAUGGUUGGCUGUUGACGAAAUGGCUGAAUGUUUAAAGCUGGGAUGGGAUCCACAGAGGGCUGUAACUUAUUUGGGUAACUUCAUAACGUUUAUCAAGAAAACUUUUACUGACCACAUGAGAAGCAAGUCUACACCUGAAACAUCUGGUCCCAUAUCAAUGCAGUUUGACACUGAGUUUGGCAAAAGAAUGACUGUGACGCGGAAUUCUAAUUCAGAUAAUAACAUUUUGCCUGAAUGGUAUCUAGAAGCCAUGAAUCAAUAAAUAUUAAUAAUAACAUUUCUUUUUGGAUUCUGUGUGUAUGUUUAUAAACUCACAGGAAAUAGACUGCGUGGAAUAUUUACAAUUAUUGUGUUACGCGCGCUGUUUAAGUGCUGCCACUGCAAAUUUGCCAUGAAGGGUUGAUGGAUCGCACAAGACCUGUGUAGCUAUGCAGCUCGUGUGCACUAUAUUCAGUUGACUCUUUGUACGCUUUGUUGUAAGGUCGCUUCUGAUGACGUAACACGAUAACAUUAGUGCAGAUUGCAGAGUCGCAAUGCGAGCAGCGAGUACUUACUCAACGUGCGAGCGACUCGCUACCUGAUUAGAAAAUUAAUACUGGAAACCAAACGGCGCUUCACAAUGGUUUAAAGCUGCCAUUGAUCUUAGCUAUUUUACGACGUGAAACCCUCGCUCAACAAUAGCACCACAAGUGGUAUUGUUGAUCGAACCGUGAAGCUCAAGCGCACGUGGUGUUAUUUUAACAGUUUAUAUCUAAUGUUAUAGGUAUAAUAUGCACAAAGCCAGGUGCUUGGUUUUCAACAACGUUAAUCACAUGCGUAAACCAUAAACGCAUGUUAUUCGAACGGGACCUUAGAAAGCGUUCUGAUAAUUAUAGGUGUUGUUUUACAAUUAGGUAUGUAUGAAAAAAGUUUUUAUAAUAAAACUAGGUAAUAUCGAACUUUCCAGAGAUAAACUAGUUUAUUUUCUUGUCAAUGAGUAUUAUUGUCAAUUACGGUCUUUGAUUACUGUUAUAUAUAUUGAUUACAUAUAAUUCUCUUUGAUUACUGUUCUCACAGGUGUAAACUGCAUUUGACGUAUCCAAAAAAAACAAAGAUGUUAAUAAAAUUUUGGUAAUUUUGUAGAAGUAAAUACAAUUAAAAUGAUUAAAAAAUAAGAAAUGUAACAAAACCUUAGAAUAAUGGGCCAAAUAGAGGAAGUCAAAUCAUCGCCGAAAACGGCCAAAAGUGCUGCACCCGUUAAAAAAGCAUCAUCGGGCUCUUCAACUAAAGCGGCAAAGAAAAUUAAAUCUGAAUCGCUAAGCCUCUCGGACCCUAAGAUCCAAGGAGUGUUGCUUGUCGGCCUUCUGGCAGUUCUGGUUUUGGCGUUAUGGUUUGGCUUUACUCGAGGCUGCUUCCGUCGCCGUCGUCGUAGAAGAUCUUCUUGUUGCCAGUACGUUCAUGCCGGUAAAGGGAACACAAGAUGCGGACUGGCCAAGAUAACGUCUGAAUAUAAUACUUACCUACCUAUAGAAUAUUAUGCUUCGAAUACAGCUCUUGAAAUGAACGGUGUCGCCGCACGAAUAAUUGGAAAUGGAAAUCCUGAUCUGAUGAAUGGAAUUGGAAAUCCUGCAGGGAGUGCUGUUACUCGAUUAAUCUGAAAUCAUGUAUUAAACAAUGUAUACCACAAAUAAAAAUCGAAAAAUAUA